rnacentral:rRNA from 1 species
CCCUUAGAUGUUCUGGGUCGCACGCGCGCUACACUGAUGCAUUCAACGAGUUUCUUCCUGGUCCGAGAGGAAUGGGUAACCUUUUGAAAGUGCAUCGUGAUAGGGAUAGACUAUUGCAAUUAUUGGUCUUCAACGAGGAAUUCCUAGUAGACGUAGUUCAUCAGACUGCAUCGAUUACGUCCCUGCCCUUUGUACACACCGCCCGUCGCUCCUACCGAUUGAAUGCUCAGGUGAGCCAUUCGGACCUUCAUCAUGCCGGUUUCCGGUUUUGAUGAGGGAAAGUCUUGCGAACCUUAUCAUUUAGAGGAAGGAGAAGUCGUAACA